rnacentral:rRNA from 1 species
CUCUUUCUCGAUUCAGUGGAUGGUGGUGCAUGGCCGUUCUUAGUUGGUGGAGUGAUCUGUCUGGUUAAUUCCGAUAACGAACGAGACUCUCCCCUGCUAACUAGUCGGUUGGAUCUUGAUCAGCGGGUUGCGUGCCGAGUAACUCUCGCUGCGCGUGGUGCGUCGCGGGCCUCACGGUUCGUUGCGUGCUCGUGUGGCGUUGGAUGCCUUGGAUCACACUGCACCCCAAGUCCGCCGCUUAUGCUAUAACUCUUCUUAGAGGGAUUCACGGCACUGAAGCCGUAAGAGACUGAGAGCAAUAACAGGUCUGUGAUGCCCUUAGAUGCUCUGGGCCGCACGCGCGCUACAAUGCCGGGCACAGCAGGUGUUUCUCCUGCUCCGACAGGAGCGGGUAACCCUCUGAAAGCCAGUGUUCUUGCAAGUGCUUCCUCCCUCGUGGAGUUGCACAGAGGCGUGCUUGGGCCUGGGACUUGCAAUUCUUUCCCACCAACGAGGAAUGCCUAGUAGCGGCGGGUCACUGAGCCCGCCGUGACUCAGUCCCUGCCCUUUGUACACACCGCCCGUCGCUWCUACCGAUUGGGUGUACCAGUGAGAGCCUUGGACUGGCGUCCGUUGUUGCUCGAAAGAGUGACAAGCGGGUCCGACGGAAAGAGGUCCGAACUGGUGCACUUAGAGGAAGUAAAAGUCGUAACAAGGUUUCCGUAGGUGAACCUGCGGAAGGAUCA